AUUGAACGCUGGCGGCAGGCUUAACACAUGCAAGUCGAGCGGAUGAAGGGAGCUUGCUCCUGGUUUUAGCGGCGGACGGGUGAGUAAUGCCUAGGAAUCUGCCUGCUUGUGCGUUAUAACGUCCGGAAACGGGUGCUGAUACUGCAUACGUCCUGCGGCUGAUGGUUGGGGAUCUUCGGACCUCAUGCUAUCAGAUGAGUCUAGGUCGGAUUAGCUAGCUGGUGGGUUAGAGACCUACCUAGCCGAGGAUCCGUAGCUGGUCUGAGAGGAUGAUCAGUCACCCUGGAACGGAGACACGGACCAGACUACUACGAGAGGCAGCAGUGGGGAAUAUUGGGCAAUGGGCGAGAGCAUGAUACAGCCAUGCCGCGUGUGUGAAGAAGGUCUUCGGAUUGGAAAGAACUUUAAGUUGGGGGGAAGGGCAGUAAGUUAAUACCUUGCUGUUUUGACGUUACCAACAGAAUAAGCACCGGCUAACUUCGUG
rnacentral:rRNA from 1 species